GGGGGUGACAGGCUUCGACUUUGGUAUUUGACGCAUGGGAAGCGAGUCGUGGUCUCCGGAUCCACGCUAAAGAGCCGGAAACAAAAAUAAACGCCGAGCCUCAGCUCGCACUCGCAGCUUAAUUAAUUCUGCGACGUCCUUCCCGCCCAAGCUCUUAGGGCGGUCAAAGGGCGAAAUCAAAGAGAGAUAAGCCGGUGGCGGUCUCGGAACCGCCGGACGAAAACCUACGAGAUAGGCAGAGGGCCAGACGCUAGCAGUAACCCGCUGAAGAAAAUUUACGACUAGCUGCACUCGGAGAAGCCAUGCGAAGGGGCCGAAGGACGCGGGUUCAAUUCCCGCCACCUCCACCA
rnacentral:tmRNA from 1 species